GUUAAUGUGGCAGAGUACGGCCAUGCAAAAGGCCUAAGCCCUUUGAACCGGGGUUCAAAUCCCCUCAUUAACU
rnacentral:tRNA from 1 species